GACAGAGGGUGCAAAUGUUGUUCGGAAUUACUGGGCGUAAAGGGCGCGUAGGCGGACAGUUUAGUCAGAGGUGAAAGCCCAGGGCUCAACCUUGGAAUUGCCUUUUGAUACUGGCUGUCUUGAGUUCGGGAGAGGUGAGUGGAAUGCCGAGUGUAGAGGUGAAAUUCGUAGAUAUUCGGCGGAACACCAGUGGCGAAGGCGACUCACUGGCCCGAUACUGACGCUGAGGCGCGAAAGCGUGGGGAGCAAACAGG
rnacentral:rRNA from 1 species